GUUCCUUGAAGCAAAGCAAGGGGGGGGGGGCUUUUGAUCCAAGGAAAUAGACAUGUGCUUCCCUUCCUUAGAUCAAACCUGAAUGCCUCCCAUUCCUCCUCCCCAGGGAGAUGCACGAGUCCUACGGGUUUAGCGCUCUCCCAAUGAAUAAACAAUACAGUUUUGAAACUAAUAGUAUUUAAUGUGUACAAUGGUUUGAGGGUACAAAAUAAUAAUAUGAGCAUGCACAUGUAUUAAAUUGUGUAGAAUUAACCUUGGAUAACCCAGUCAAGUGCUAUAUUAUGACUUCAUUGGACCCAUGUUAUACAUUUAGGGAAGCUAUUUUAAGGUUUUAUAAGUAUGUUUAUAUUUAUGAAAAUGGAUUUUCUUAUUACAAACAAUUACAAAUUUGUAUGGUAUUACUGAGAGUAAAGAUGUGGACAUACAUGUGUGCCCAUAUGAUCAUUAUGGAUAUAAAAAAAGUGAUAUUUUAUGAUAGCUUAACCUAGGAUAUCCCAACAAUUUUCCAUUGGGUAUAAUUCAAUUGGUAUCACUUGGUGCAAAUUCACUUGCAUGCCAUAACCCUACUUCUACCCAGAUUUUGUUAAAGGCUGUAAAAAUUUGCUCGUGACACGAGUGGGUGGUUACUAUGCACUUUCUUGUAGGUUUAACACUUCUUUUUUAUUAUAAUAAUAAUACUGUGCACUUUGCUCACAGUGCUUUGUAUUGGGCAUUGUGAAAUCUACAAUGUACCAUCAAAACAAUAGUAAUUUAAUAUUGAUUCAGAUUUUUAACCCAGAGAGUUUGUCACCCAGGAUAACCCAAGAAACUCAGUGCAUCAUCGAGGACUGUCUGUCUUAUUUCCAUUGGGGCCCUUCAAUCUUGUCCCCCAGUAGGCAAUCCACACCAGUCGACUAACACCAGAUGAACAGGGAUAACAGGAUGGACUACGACUCGGAUGAUAAUGAAAUUCUUGAAUCGGGAGUUGUGGAUGCAGGAGAAAAAGGUGGACUUUCCUCAUGUGGAUAUUGUGGUAAGCUCCGGAACUUGAACGCAGUUGAACUGAUGUGCUGGCAGUGUGGUUUCCUGGUUCCAUGAAUCUUGCAUCAGUUAUCAGCUUGGAAACUGGUGCCAUUUAUGCUGAACUAUUCUUUCACCUGCAAGAACUGCUCUUCAACUGGUGUUGAGGCCUUUCGCAAAUCUCAGGCACAACUUCGAGACAUGUGUAUAACAGCUUUAGCAAACUUGCAGCAUGCAAGCAGUAAGAUGGGAAAGGAAACACAAUGUUUAGCCUGCAGAGGGAUGUCAUACCCUUCUUAGAACAAAACUGGAGGAGGCGCUUACCACUGCUGCACGACGUUCCACUCAGUCAUGGCAUACAACAUUGCAGAGAAUGCUUAUGAAGGAAGUUGAUACAUAUUUCACGGUAGAAGAGACAGGCGAGAGUGGUGAACCUUCACAGCACCAUCCUUUCUUUGGUCUCCUCACAGCAGAUCUGACACUCAUCCGACCAAUUGUUGAUGCGCCUGGUGGGUGGCGGUCACCCCCAUCCGGCUCCUGUAUGUAUCCUCCCUAUACUGUUAAUGCCACCACCAAGAGCUGUAAUCUCAUUUUGUCAUGCACCCUAUAAUACAUAAGCUUUAAUUUUUAUAUUUAUUACAUAAACAUAAUAAAUAUAUAUUGAUUGUUGGAUCCAGAGAUCUAUUAAAUUGGCUUCAACUUAUUUUUAACUGCACUUCUAUAAGCAUCUAAUAUGUUUUACUGUACAGUAAGUAUUGUUGAAAUGAGUCAACAUUGAAUAGAAGUUAUUAAAUAUUAGACUUGCUUAUGUAAAUUCAGUUGACGGUAUAUUAUUUUAUAACAUUUGAUUUUUAAGUGAAUGUCUAUGAAGGAGAACAUAUUGUGAUCUUGCAUCUUCCAGUUAUGCUGACUCAAGUUAUAUUAAUGUUUACUG